UUUGAUUUUUAAAUCAUUUGUUAAAACUAAAAAUGAGUGUGCGUACGCGUGGAGAGGGGGAACAAGGCUUCUCUAAUCAGCAAAGGGGCUGUCGGCAGGCGAUGUACAAAUGAAAGCGCGCUUUCUAAAUUUCCAAAGCACUAAAGGGAGAGAAAUGCGCAAUUACUGUGGGAUUCGCCCAGAGGAGCAGCCUCAGGAGUUGAAGGGGAUCCUGUCCCUCCCAGAGGAAAGCUCACGAUUGGAUUGGAACUUCUAGCGACUGCCUGAGCUUUAAACUCUGCAAAUAUUUGUGUCCUUCACAAAAAAAGGCGUUCCUCAGUCUACCUCCAACCUCGCCGGGCAACUUAUCUUUCCCAAGUUCACAGCCUGACUCCGGAUCUCUUGGUCUCUUGUGAUCUUGCAGCAAUUCAGCAGAAAAGACUCGGUUUGGGUUUUGGUUUGUGAUGGCUAAUAAUGGGGGUUUUACCCCCCUGAUGUUUGGGGGAUUUGUGCUUGUUUUAUGAUUACUAUUUUUCUUGUUUCCUGCAGUCAAGGAAAACUGUCUGUGUUACAAGCAAACUUACUGUCCCCUGCCUCAGGGACGUGAGUUCCAGUCCUGGACACUUUACUUUCUCUCUCUCCGGUCUUCCCUGGCCCACGGUCAGUUUCUUAACUCUCCUUGUCCUUGAUCUUUUCCCGAAAUGCCUGGACCCUCGCCUUAGCCCCUCCUCCGAUUUGCCCCUUUCUUUAAUUUGUCUUGUGUGUUAGCGCUGGGUCAGCGCGCCCUUUGUGCUGAGGUCCUGGGCCGGUGUGUGUGUGUGCGUGCGUGCGUGUGUGUUGUAGUGUGUGUUUCUUUUGUUAUUUUCUCCCCUAACACCGCAGAAAUGAAACACACAUGCAGCUCUGUCGCCUCAUAUUUUCAGAUGUUUUUCACACUAUUGUCUGCUCCAGCCCGUUGAAAGUGCAAAGUGAAAACAGAUGCAUCCAAAAAAUUUUUUUUGAAAGGGACAAUCCUAGGAUGGAGACUAACCCCUCGAAUACAGAUAAGCAAUAAAUAUUGUAUCAGAUUUAUAACGUGCAUCGAGCAGUCUUGAUUAGCACCAAGGUGAGCUUUGGUGAGAUUUUUAUCAUUUCCAUGUGUCUGGACUACAAGAAGAAAUCACUGGGGGAAGAGCUCUAUAAAUCAGCGUCCAUGUCAAGACAAAUCAAAAUAAUGCCUCUAUUAUUUCAAUCAAUAAACCAUUUUUAUUCCCAACAUCUGAUACACACAGUGUGUGUCCGUCUGUUUGUAUUUGGAAUUGGCAGCCUUGCCUUAUACCAAAACAAACCUUUCAAGACGUGUCAAUGAAAUUAAAAUUUUUAAAAGGAGAAUUCAAUGUGACCCUCCUUCCCUUUCGAGCUACUCCAUUCUCCCCUUUUUAAGCCGCACACCCCAAGUCAGUAGGAGAGCUUUGCAACUCUGCAAAGGAUGAAAUUGCUUUGAGAAUUUCAGAGAAAAGGGGUGGCGGGUGCUAUUAGGGAAGAGAAACCGAAAGCGGCGACAGGCAACGACUGGGACUGAGGAAAGCCUCCCUGGCUCCUGGCUCCAAGAUAUUCCAGAGGACGGUCCUAGGGCGGUCUCAGGAGGGUGUGACAGGGUGCUCCCGCGCUCUGCUAAAAACCAAAACCACCACCUCCCACCACUGCCACCAAGAUUUUUCCAGCAGGUGUAAGGCUGACUGGCUGUAGGGCGUUAAUUGGGGCGAGGCUAGCUGGAGAAAGAUGGGGGGCGGGGGCGGGAGACGAGGAAGAGUGGGGGAGAGGAGGGAAGAAAGGGAGAGAGAGAGAGCGACUGACUCUGGUUGACUGGCGGGUGGCUUUUGUUAGUUUCAGGCAGAUUUCAAGACUUGUUUCUCAAAAUGUCCUGCAAUUUUGGCUUCCGCGGCAGUUUGUGAGAUGGGGCCACAAUUCUUGAUUGAUGAUAGGAAAGUAGAGAAGGAGAGAUGAUUCGUCUAUGAGUCAACAUUGUCGAUAGCUAGAGUCUUGGUAUUCCCAUAGCUUCCUUGGUUAUUUUGUUUCCAAAUUUGCACACCCAGGAACCAAAUCUCAAUGAUCCUUUUGUUGCUGAAGGUUCAUCCUCUCCUGUUCCAUCUGUCCGCCAUAAACACAUAAUUCUGACUGCCCCAUUCCUAAUCCAUUUCUUUCCUUUGGAAUGGGAAGAAGGAAAUGAAAAGUACUCCCAGAUGGAAACCGAAACGGCGUCAGAUCCAGAAUAGUCUUUGUUUGGAUUCAACAGCUGUCUGCCCACCACGCCCUCAGUCCCCAAGUCCAAAGCGCAUCCUCGGGGUUUCAUUUGAGAAAGGGAGAAAAAAGAAACACUUCAAAAUCUGUAUUUUUACAAGCAGGAUUUCACAAUCCUUGGGAACUUUGAGACUUGAAUGGUUAAUCUCUCAGACGAAAUUAUCACCCCAACGACUGUUCACAGAUUAGUCGAUGCAAAUGUUAAAAACGUGUUGGCAAGCUGGAUGAGCAGGCAAACGCACAUAAGGGUCCCCAGAUGCAGCGAAUGAACAGGUUUUCCUCGUAAAAAUGAUGGAGGUGAAGGUGGGGAUGGGGGUGCUCUCCUCACUCCGGAAUCUGAAGCGGGAGAGAGCUGGAUAAACCGCCGAGAUGACCUAAGUGGUCUGAGGCGACCAGCAGCGCGUCCACAGUGGAGGACCCAGGCCUCGGCUCAGACAUGGCCUGCUCCGCUCUUUCCCUAGGCUCCUCUGCAACAUCAGGCAACCAAGGCCUGCGCUCUCCUUUUCCUGAGGAGACUCCCUGGAACCUUCAAGAACCCCCCGACAGCCACCAGGAUACCCGGUCUGAAUGGUUUCCUACCAAGAAAGACCCCGAAGACCUGCAGUUCUGUCCAGAAACGAGUUUUUAGGGUCACUUGAAUUUGAGCUGCUGCGAGGGCGGUGCUUUAGGGAGCAGAGUUCAAAGAGGAAUUCCUCAGGACCCUAGGCCAGGUCCGCGUUAAAGGGCGCCUUACAAACCUCCUCUCCCCACACUCCCCCGCAGCCCCUUCCCCAACGUUUAAGGCACCGGAUCUUGAGAAGCAAAUCUAGUGCCCAGCUUCAAAUCCCCGCCUUGGAAAAGUACAAAGAGAAAACUGAUUUUUCAAAUCCCAAAGCCCUUUCCUUUUAAGCAACUUGGAAAAACUCAGCUAUAAACGCUUUCUCCUCUUAUGCUAAAAUUGAAAACUUAUAGAUUUUAGAUGGAAUGAAGAGAAGAUAUAUUCCUUUUCCCUUUAAAUAGCCACAUUUCAAAUUGUGCCAGGCAGCAAUUUCUGCGAAAAAGGAGUGGCGGUUGGGAUUGUUUGGGAGAUGGAGUUUUAUUUGUUCCCAUUUAUUUUGUUUUAUUUUUGUUUUAUUUUUUUCUUUGAGUUUCUUUGUUAUUUUGAGAUUCAUCUAAGAGACUCAGAAUUCCACUCUGAAUAAAGCACUUUUUGUUGUUUCAAAAUUUCAAACUGACAUAAGUGUUGGAUCAUCAGUUUUCCCUUUGUCUGCCCUAGUUGUAAAUAAUGGCUUUGAGAUUAGCUAAUUAAGGGGCAUUAAUCACUGAUAGAAAGGGAAUAAAUCAAAGCCUUGUUCUAAAUUUCAAACUUGCCUGUAUAGAUGUGCAUAGCUACUCUAUCUGGAGCAGAUAGGUGCUGUUUGAAUUACUGUUCUUCAGAGUAAACCAAAUCCACUUCGCUUUUAAAAAAUGAAUAUUGUAUUUAUACAGCCUGG
rnacentral:lncRNA from 10 species